ACACAUGCAAGUCGAGGGGCAGCAGAUCGAAAGCUUGCUUUUGAUGCUGGCGACCGGCGCACGGGUGAGUAACGCGUAUCCAACCUUCCCUAUAGUAGGGGAUAGCCCGGCGAAAGUCGGAUUAAUACUCUAUGUUAUUCAAUGCGGACAUCUAAGUUGAAUCAAAGGCUUGCCGCUAUAGGAUGGGGAUGCGUCUGAUUAGGUAGUCGGCGGGGUAACGGCCCACCGAGCCGACGAUCAGUAGGGGUUCUGAGAGGAAGGUCCCCCACAUUGGAACUGAGACACGGUCCAAACUCCUACGGGAGGCAGCAGUGAGGAAUAUUGGUCAAUGGGCGAGAGCCUGAACCAGCCAAGUAUCGUGCAGGAUGACGGCCCUAUGGGUUGUAAACUGCUUUUAUACAGGGAUAAAGUGAGCCACGUGUGGCUUUUUGUAGGUACUGUAUGAAUAAGGACCGGCUAAUUCCGUGCCAGCAGCCGCGGUAAUACGGAAGGUCCGGGCGUUAUCCGGAUUUAUUGGGUUUAAAGGGAGCGCAGGCUGAUGAUUAACCGUGACGUGAAAUGUAGCCGCUCAACGGCUG
rnacentral:rRNA from 1 species